rnacentral:rRNA from 1 species
CAGCAGCCGCGGUAAUACAGAGGUCUCAAGCGUUGUUCGGAGUCAGUGGGCGUAAAGGGUGCGUAGGCGGUGACGUAAGGUGGAUGUGAAAUCCCGGAGCUUAACUCCGGAACUGCAUUCAAUACUGCGUUGCUAGAGUACUGGAGAGGAGAUUGGAAUUCACGGUGUAGCAGUGAAAUGCGUAGAUAUCGUGAGGAAGACCAGUGGCGAAGGCGAAUCUCUGGACAGUUACUGACGCUGAGGCACGAAGGCCAGGGGAGCA